UAGGGAAUCUUCCGCAAUGGACGCAAGUCUGACGGAGCAACGCCGCGGGAGUGAAGAAGGAUCUCGGUUCGUAAAACUCUGUUGUUAGAGAAGAACAGCGCAUAGAGUAACUGUUAUGCGUGUGACGGUAUCUAACCAGAAAGCCACGGCUAACUACGUGCCAGCAGCCGCGGUAAUACGGAGGUGGCAAGCGUUGUCCGGAUUUAUUGGGCGUAAAGCGAGCGCAGGCGGUCAAUUAAGUCUGAUGUGAAAGCCCCCGGCUCAACCGGGGAGGGUCAUUGGAAACUGGUUGACUGGAGUGCAGAAAAGGAGAGUGGAAUUCCAUGUGUGGCGGUGAAAUGCGUAGAUAUAUGGGGGAAAACCGGUGGCGAAAGCGGCUCUCUGGUCUGUAACUGACGCUGAGGCUCGAAAGCGUGGGGAGCGAACAGG
rnacentral:rRNA from 1 species